AGGCGCGUAUAGCAGCGUCCUCCGGCGGGAAACGGUAAAUAAAAAGAGAUGGGAUUUGAGGGCCCCAAAACUUCCCUCCCCAAAUCCCCCAAACCCCAUCACCAUUGUCACCAUUGCUCGCCGAACCCUAGAGAGGGCGCGGGGGCGGAUACCUUAGCUAGCCAUGGUCAUCGCCGUUGAGGGCAACGGCUUCGUCCACGACGACGAGGAGGACGACGGAGACCGCCCCAUCCGCUACCUUCCCCUCGGCCAUAUCUACUCCUCUUCCACCCCCGCCCCCGCACCGCGCCCGCCGGCCCAGAAGAAGCCCCGCUUCGACGACGGCAGACCCCCCAUGAAAGUAUAUUACCGCCGCCGUCGCAAGAAGCUGCGGGUCGAUGAAUCGCUGUCGCCGCCCUCGCCAACGACGGCCCCACUCGCGCCGCCCGAGAGGGACGAGAAGGCUGGGCCCUCGCGCCGGAAAGACUCCCUCAAGCACGAGCUGCUCAGCCUGGGCCCCGCCUCACCUGCAUUGGAUGGGGAGGAGCCGGAACGGCGUCUAGGACGAACGAGGCGCUGCGGAGGGGCUGAAAAGACGGUUUGCUUCUCAGAACCUGAGAGGCGGCGGCAGCCGGCCAGGCCCAAGGGGUCGGUCGGGAGGAGAUGGGUCGAGUUGGAUAUUCAGACUGCGGAUCCUAAUGCCUUUGUCGGAUUGGUGUGCAAGGUUUUCUGGCCGCUGGAUGAUGAUUGGUACAAGGGCUCCAUCGCAUGGUACAAUGAGGCAACCAAGAAGCAUUCAGUAAAGUAUGAUGAUGGUGAAGCAGAGGACCUUAGCCUUGCAGAUGAAAGGAUAAAGUUUUUCAUCUCCUCUGAAGAGAUGAAGUCUUUGAAUCUGAAACUUGGAAUUUCCAAUCAGGAUAAGAAGGGGCAUGAUGAGUUGCUUGCACUUGCUGUUAGCUUUCAUGACUAUCAGGGUCUCGACCCAGGUGACCUUGUGUGGGCAAAAAUUACAGGUCAUGCAAUGUGGCCGGCGGUUGUGGUGGAUGAGUCAAAUGUACCUGCAACUCGAGCUUUGAAGUCAAUUCGGUUGGACCAAUCAAUAUUGGUCCAAUUCUUUGGCACUCACGAUUUUGCAAGGAUUAAAUUGAAGCAAGCUGUGCCGUUUCUGAAUGGUCUUGUUUCUUCUUUGCAUCUCAAAUGCAAGCAAGCAAGUUUCAGUCGGAGCUUAGAAGAAGCAAAAGAAUUUCUCCACACACAGCAGCUUCCUGAAAUUAUGUUGCAGCUUCGGAAAUCUGUUCAACAUGAUGUCUCUGAUGUUAAUUCCUAUGAGGGCAAGGUAGACUCUUGCAGUAAUUUAUCAGAAGCUCUAGCAUUGCAAAAUGGAGAGGAUGCUGAGAUGACUCAAAUAGAACUAGGGAACCUUCGUGUGAGCAAUUUAGGUAGGAUAGUAUCUGACUCUGACCAUUUCCAUAACAAAAAGGAUAUAUGGCCUGAAGGAUAUACUGCUUUCAGAAAGUACAUGUCAAUAGAAGACCCACAUGCAGUAACAUUGUACAAAAUGGAAGUACUUAGGAACUCUGAUACAAAAGCACGCCCGUUGUUUAGGGUGAUCUCAGAAGACGGGGUGCAGAUUGAUGGAUCUACCCCAAAUGCGUGCUGGAAAGAGAUAUACCGCAGAAUAAAGGAAAAACAGUGCACUGAAUUGGAAAGAAACGUAUGCCAAAGUUCUGGUUCCUACAUGUUUGGCUUUUCAAAUCCGCAGAUAAGACAACUUAUUCAGGGAGGUGUUGGACAACGGACCAGUUGCAAAAAAGAGGGUUACAACACCCUGAAAGAUGCCCACUUUGUGAUCAAGAACAUGAAACCAUUGAUCAUCUCCUCAUUGGAUGUGUCUUUGCAAGGGAAUUAUGGUUCAAAUUGUUUGGACAAAUUAAUCUACACUACCUUGCUCCGCAACCAGGAACUGCCCAAUGCAAGGUCAUGUUUGAAAUAUUUUGAGAAUGGUGGGGACACUAUCCUGGGUUAUAGAGCGGUUCAGGUUAAUUGGAAAGAUCUGGACUAUUGCAAUGUUUGUGAUAUGGAUGAGGAGUAUGAAGACAACUUAUUCUUGCAAUGUGACAAGUGUCGUAUGAUGGUUCAUGCUAGAUGUUAUGGUGAACUUAAACAAUUGGAUGGAGGACUUUGGCUUUGCAACUUGUGUCGACCAGGUGCACCUCGUGUGUCUCCAAAAUGCUGUCUAUGUCCAGUCACAGGUGGUGCAAUGAAACCUACAACAGAUGGCCGUUGGGCUCAUCUCGCAUGUGCUAUAUGGAUCCCUGAAACAUGCUUAAAGGAUGUAAAGAGAAUGGAACCUAUUGAUGGACUGAGCAGAAUCAACAAGGACCGUUGGAAACUUGUAUGCAGCAUUUGCGGAGUUUCAUAUGGAGUUUGUAUACAGUGUUCUCAUCCUACCUGUCGUGUUGCGUAUCACCCUCUUUGUGCACGUGCUGCUGACCUUUGCAUUGAGCUUGAAAAUGAUGACAAAAUCCAUCACAUGUAUCUUGAUGAAGACGAGGAUCCUUGUAUUCGUUUACUCUCGUACUGCAAAAAGCAUAGACAGCCUUCUGCUGCUGAACGUCCAUCUUUAGAAAGUGAUCCUCCUGAACCCAUUCAGGUAGUUCAGACAGAUAUGGCUUCAUCAUCUGGUUGUGCAAGGACCGAACCCUAUAAUUUACACAGGAGAAGGGGCCAAAAGCAGCCACAAGUUGUCGCUACUGCUUCUCUGAAACGUUUAUAUGUGGAGAAUAGACCUCAUAUUGUCAGUGGCUACUGCCAAAACAGAGUAGGCAAUACAUGCGGAGAAUCAAUUCAACCGUUUGGUUUGUCAGAUGCUGUGCAGCAAGAAGCUAUUGGCAAUGUGUCUUCUAUGGUUGAAAAAUAUACAAUCGUGAAGGCUACAUUUAGGAAGAGACUAACUUUUGGAAAAUCAAAAAUUCAUGGAUAUGGUGUCUUUGCCAAGGUUGCACACAAGGCCGGAGAUAUGAUGGUUGAAUACAUAGGGGAGAUUGUUAGACCACCGAUAUCAGACACUAGAGAGCGGCGAAUUUACAACUCACUAGUGGGUGCUGGGACAUAUAUGUUCAGGAUAGAUGAUGAACGUGUUAUAGAUGCCACUCGGGUUGGAAGUAUAGCCCGUCUGAUCAAUCACUCAUGCGAGCCUAAUUGCUAUUCACGUGCCAUAACUAUUCUUGGAGAUGAACACAUCAUCAUUUUUGCGAAACGGGACAUAGAUCCAUGGGAAGAGCUGACAUAUGAUUAUAGGUUUUUUUCAAGUGAUCAACGACUUCCAUGUUUUUGUGGAUUCCCCAAAUGCCGUGGAGUAGUUAAUGAUGUUGAGGCAGAGGAACAGUCGGCUAAAAUCAGAGUUAAGAGAAGUGAAUUAUUUGAAAAAAGUGAAAAGUAAAGGGUAUACGUAUGAAUCGGGAUGUGGGCUCUAAAGAAAUGAACACGAUGAUAAAUACAAACUUAGCGUUUGACCAUGGCAAUUGGUGAAAAAAGAGUGGUACAUCAUAUUGGUUGGGAUAUGACAUGCUUGUGUGAUAUGCUUGCCAGUGCCUAAAGGCAAAUUCUAAAAAAUGGUUGAGUUUCAUUCUUGAAUCCUGAUAAUUCUUCUCAUUAUUUGAGUGGAAGACGAAUCUAAUUGUAUAGGUACCCAAUAUAGGAUCGGCAAUCCAAUUUGGGGACAUAAGUUGAAUCAAUUGUCGUGUACCAUUGAAAUGUUAGUUGUUACACAUAUUUCGGCCAUUUAUCUUGUUGAACCUACCCUAUUUUCAACCGUUGGAGCUGGGAAUCGGAGGGGUGGUUUGGUUAAAUGAUUUGAGAUGGCCUGCCAUGUGUAAUGUAAUCGAAGUACAUGGUUGCACUUUUCGGUGUUGCCCAUAUAUUAUCCAUAACAAUAUGUAGUUUCAGCUGUUCUGCAUUUACGAAAAUGCAUUGGAAGAGAAACGUCCACUUCAACUGAAUGUAUUCUACGAAAUCUUUAUUUAUGGGUAUCCGUCUGUUGUGCAUUCUAACCUUUGUGAAUAUAGAGCGUGUAUCUUAUACUCCUUAAGUUUCAAUUUACAA